rnacentral:misc_RNA from 1 species
GUGAAUCAUCGAAUCUUUGAACGCAAAUUGCACUCUUUGGUAUUCCGGAAAGUAUGCCUGUUUGAGGGUCAGUUAAAUAAAAAUCGGAGUUGUUGCUGCUUUUCUUGGUGAGGCGGCGGAAUUGAGAUGUCUUACCUUCGGUUAAGUGACUUAAAAUUUUGCAUGAUUUUCUAACGCAUUUAUAUUUCUUACGUACUCUUGAGAUAUCGAAUACUUUAUUAGGU